CACGUAGGCGGAUUGGAAAGUUGGGGGUGAAAUCCCAGGGCUCAACCCUGGAACUGCCUCCAAAACUACCAGUCUAGAGUUCGAGAGAGGUGAGUGGAAUUCCGAGUGUAGAGGUGAAAUUCGUAGAUAUUCGGAGGAACACCAGUGGCGAAGGCGGCUCACUGGCUCGAUACUGACGCUGAGGUGCGAAAGUGUGGGGAGCAAACA
rnacentral:rRNA from 1 species